rnacentral:lncRNA from 1 species
AUGCUAUGUGUCUUUCUCUUUCUUGUUUUUCAUGCAGUCUUCCAUCGUCUUCCUCUAUUCCGACCCCAGGUGUGGCUUCAUGUGCUGGAACAUCGCUCCUGUCUGGAAGUGCUCCUGCACGUUGGUGAGGACUCCCUUCCGGCCCUCGGCUGGCCUUCAUCACCUCACACCUGGAUGACCGCAACAGCUGGCCUGCCUUGGGCUAGCCUUUCUCUGCUCCAGCCUCUCCAGCUGCCAGGACCCAUCUUCUGCAAAUACCUUUGGCAUCACAUCACUUCCCUGCUCAGACCUAUUAGAUCCUAGCUCCAUUCAUCUGGCUGGGAGCCAGCCAAUUGGCCUCCCAUUCUUCCUCUUCCCUCCUUUCAAGUUCACUCCCAUCCAGCCAGCCUCAUAGGUUGCUUUAAAUCUUCUGUUAGCCCCUCUGCUAGUUUGGGUGGUCUCCUUUCCACCUCCUCCCGCCCUCCCUCCAGAAUACUUCUGGUGACUUUGGGGGAGUCAUGCAAACUGUCGAGCUUCUCCAGCCUCUUUCUCAAUGCAUUUGCCUCCCCUGCCCGCAUCGCGGCUCCACCAUUCACCUGCUAGAGGCCUUCAGGCAAGUUGCUUCACCUCUCGGUGCCUCAGUGUUCUCAUUUUUUUCAUCCAUAAAAUGGGGAUCUUAAUGGUACAUCCUCAUCAGUUCGUGGAGAAGAUUAAAAGAGGUGAUAGUGGAGUUCCCAUUGUGGCGCAGUGGAAACAUAUCUGACUAGUCUCCAUGAGGACGCAGGUUCGAUUCCCUGGCCUCGCUCAGUGGGCUAAGGAUCUGGCAUUGCUGUGAGCUGUGGUGUAGGUCACAGACGCGACUCGGAUCCCCCGUUACUGUGGCUGUGACGUAGGCCGGUGGCUACAGCUCCAAUUUGACCCCUCACCUGGGAACUUCCAUAUGCUGCAGGUGUGGCCCUGAAAAGACAAAAAAAAAAAAAAAGGAGAUAGCUGUAAAAGGACCUAGAACAAUAUUCGGCACAAAGUAACUGCCAUGGACACAUCAGCUAUUAUUACUUUUUUUUUUUUGUCUUUUGUCUUUUUAGGGCUGUACCCAUGGCAUAUGGAAGUUCCCAGGCUAGGGGUCUAAUCGGAGCUGUAGCCUACACUAGAGUCACAGCAACGCCAGAUCUGAGCCGCGUCUGUGACCUACACCAGAGCUCACCACCAUGCCGGAUCCUUAACCCACUGAGUGAGCCCAGGGAUCGGACCCGCAACCUCAUGGUUCCUAGUUGGAUUCAUUAACCACUGAGCCACAAUGGGUACUCCAGCUAUUAUUACUUAACCAUUGUUAUUAUGGCGCCUUCUAGCCAGCUCUUCCCUGGACACCACUUCCACUUGGAAGAGCUAACUGGUGGAGCUGUCUGUCAAAAAAAAAAAAAAAAUGAGUCCAGGAAAAACAAAUUUCAUAAAUAGAUUCUGCUAAAUCUAAGACUGUUGAAGUCUUCCAAUUGGUGAAUAUUAUUUUAUUCACCAAGAGUGCGGAGCUGGUUCAUUGUUAAGUAUCUGAGACAACUUGAGGAACUGGGCUGUCUACAAAGCACUACUUACAUCCAUUAAUUUCUAACCAACCAGGAGGAGGGCAUGUGAGAUUUAAAAUCAGGAUUUUUCCGGGAUGAAUAGGAUGGUGUGGGGACAACGUCAAAACACCCUAAGGGACCAAUGCGUUGUGCAUGUUAUUUCCCAUGGUCUUUCUAGAAUCCUUCUCACUAUGCCCUAAGUCCCAAUGGCCCUGCUUCCACAUCUGCUCACUCCCUGUGUUCCUCCUUGGAGCCUAAUUGGAAUUGCUUUUCUCUCUGGGAGUUCCCAGCCUGAGAGCCCUGCACCUUGCACCUCUACCAUCAUUGCUGUAAAUAAUCUACCAUCUUCAUCUUUGUUCUUCUUUUCAAAUCCACCUCUAUGGUUUUGUGGCGAAUACAACGCAUUCCUUUAAAAUCGCUGGUGAAUUCACAGUCACUGUUUAUCAUUGUAUGUUCUCUUGCUCUCGCUCAAUGAAUUCGGUCCUACCUCAGAGAUACCAGGUUCGGUGCCAGACCAUGGCCAUAAAGUGAACAUCUCAACAAAACAAGUCACGUGACUUUUUUUGGGGCUUCCCAGUGCCUACCAAAGUUAUGCUUACCUUAUACUGUAGCCUAUUAGGUGUGCAAUAGCAUUAUGCCUGAGAAAACAAUGUACAGACCUUAUUUAGAAAAUACUUGGAAUUCCCGUCGUGGCUCAGCAGAAACGAAUCUCCCUAGCAUCCACGAGGACGCAGGUUUGAUCCCUGGCCUCGCUCAGUGGGUUAAGGAUCUGGCAUUGCCAUGAGCUGUGGUGUAGGUUGCAGACAGGGCUUGGAUCCCUAGUUGCUGUGACUGUGGUGUAGGAUGGCAGCUUUAACUCUGACUUGACUCCUAGUCUGGGAACCUCCAUGUGCCGAGAGUAUGACCCUUAAAAAAGACCCGAAAAAGAAAAAGAAAAUACUCGGAGUUCCCAUCGUGGCUCAGUGGUUAACGAAUCCGACUAGGAACCAUGAGGUUGUGGGUUCUAUCCCUGGCUUUGCUCAGUGGGUUAAGGAUCCGGCGUUGCCAUGAGCUGUGGUGUGGGUCGCAGACGCGGCUUGGAUCCCGUGUUGCUGUUGCUCUGGCAUAGGCCGACGGCUACAGCUCUGGACCCCUAGCCUGGGAACCUCCAUAUGCUGCAGGAGCAGCCCAAGAAAUGGCAAAAAGACAAAAAAAAAAAAAAAAGAAGAAGAAGAAGAAAAUACUCGAUUGUGAAAAAAUUCUAGCCUUCAUCAAGUUAUAACAUCAAAGAUGACUGAUCACAGGUCACCGUAACAAAUAUAACAAAUGAAGAAAUUUAAAAUAUUGAAAGAAAAACCACCAUGUGACACGGAGACACGAAGUGAGCAAAUGCUGUUGGGAAAAUGACACUGAUAGGUUUGUUCGAUGCAGAGGUAGCCAGAAAACUUUAAUUUGAAAACAAAAAGCACGGAGUAUCCAUGAAGCGCAAUAAAGCGAGGUAUAUCUGUACUAAAAGUUCA